UGGGGAAUUUUGGACAAUGGGGGAAACCCUGAUCCAGCCAUCCCGCGUGUGCGAUGAAGGCCUUCGGGUUGUAAAGCACUUUUGGCAGGAAAGAAACGUCGCGGGUUAAUACCCCGCGAAACUGACGGUACCUGCAGAAUAAGCACCGGCUAACUACGUGCCAGCAGCCGCGGUAAUACGUAGGGUGCAAGCGUUAAUCGGAUACUGGGCGUAAAGCGUGCGCAGGCGGUUCGGGAAGAAAGAUGUGAAAUCCCAGAGCUUAACUUUGGAACUGCAUUUUUAACUACCGGGCUAGAGUGUGUCAGAGGGAGGUGGAAUUCCGCGUGUAGCAGUGAAAUGCGUAGAUAUGCGGAGGAACACCGAUGGCGAAGGCAGCCUCCUGGGAUAACACUGACGCUCAUGCACGAAAGCGUGGGGAGCAAAACAGGAUUAGAUACCCCUGGUAGUCCACGCCCUAAACGAUGUCAACUAGCUGUUGGGGCCUUCGGGCCUUGGUGGCGCAGCUAACGCGUGAAGUUGACCGCCUGGGGAGUACGGUCGCAAGAUUAAAACUCAAAGGAAUUGACGGGGUCAUAGCUGUUUCCUG
rnacentral:rRNA from 1 species